GAGUUUGAUCAUGGCUCAGGAUGAACGCUGGCGGCGUGCUUAACACAUGCAAGUCGAACGAACCUUCGGGUUAGUGGCGGACGGGUGAGUAACGCGUGGGAAUCUGCCCUCAGGAGGGGGAUAACGGCUGGAAACGGCCGCUAAUACCCCAUAUGCCGAGAGGUGAAAUGAAUUUCGCCUGAGGAUGAGCCCGCGUCUGAUUAGCUAGUUGGUGAGGUAAGAGCUCACCAAGGCAUCGAUCAGUAGCUGGUCUGAGAGGAUGAUCAGCCACACUGGGACUGAGACACGGCCCAGACUCCUACGGGAGGCAGCAGUGGGGAAUUUUCCGCAAUGGGCGAAAGCCUGACGGAGCAACGCCGCGUGAGGGAUGAAGGCCUCUGGGCUGUAAACCUCUUUUAUCAAGGAAGAAGAUCUGACGGUACUUGAUGAAUAAGCCACGGCUAAUUCCGUGCCAGCAGCCGCGGUAAUACGGGAGUGGCAAGCGUUAUCCGGAAUUAUUGGGCGUAAAGCGUCCGCAGGCGGCCCUUCAAGUCUGCUGUUAAAAAGUGGAGCUUAACUCCAUCAUGGCAGUGGAAACUGUUGGGCUUGAGUGUGGUAGGGGCAGAGGGAAUUCCCGGUGUAGCGGUGAAAUGCGUAGAUAUCGGGAAGAACACCAGUGGCGAAGGCGCUCUGCUGGGCCAUCACUGACGCUCAUGGACGAAAGCCAGGGGAGCGAAAGGGAUUAGAUACCCCUGUAGUCCUGGCCGUAAACGAUGAACACUAGGUGUCGGGGGAAUCGACCCCCUCGGUGUCGUAGCCAACGCGUUAAGUGUUCCGCCUGGGGAGUACGCACGCAAGUGUGAAACUCAAAGGAAUUGACGGGGGCCCGCACAAGCGGUGGAGUAUGUGGUUUAAUUCGAUGCAACGCGAAGAACCUUACCAGGGUUUGACAUCCUGCGAAUCUCUUGGAAACGAGAGAGUGCCUUCGGGAACGCAGUGACAGGUGGUGCAUGGCUGUCGUCAGCUCGUGUCGUGAGAUGUUGGGUUAAGUCCCGCAACGAGCGCAACCCACGUCUUUAGUUGCCAGCAUUUAGUUGGGCAUUCUAGAGAGACCGCCGGUGAUAAACCGGAGGAAGGUGUGGAUGACGUCAAGUCAUCAUGCCCCUUACAUCCUGGGCUACACACGUACUACAAUGCUACGGACAAAGGGCAGCAAGUUCGCGAGGACAAGCAAAUCCCAUAAACCGUGGCUCAGUUCAGAUCGUAGGCUGCAACUCGCCUACGUGAAGGAGGAAUCGCUAGUAAUCGCAGGUCAGCAUACUGCGGUGAAUACGU
rnacentral:rRNA from 1 species